UUUAUUUAUAUGACUAUAUGAAUGGCUACCUCAGAGCCAAAGACUAGAUUUGCUGACCUGGAAGGUCCCUUCCAGUCCUAUGUUCCUAAAUCCAAUCACCAUGCCGCUGACAGAUGCACAGCACAGCUUCCUGACUGGGACCCAGUGCAUGUAUACAAAGGGGACUUUGCACUUCAUCAAAAUCAGUUACAAACAUUAAGGGUUGUGGUGAAAGGCUGGGGGCUGGAUCACUGUUAAUAAAAAAAAGAAAAGUGCGUGUCAGGGGAAGAAAGGGUCACUUUGGAGCGCAUACAGAGAGGGAAGGGUCACUUUGAGGUAUAAAUGGAGGGGGAAGACUGGGAAAUGAAGCAAUGGAAUUCAAUUCCCCCAUCAACGAAUGGGUUAAAUCCCAUCUCCUUCUGCAUGCAUCUAAAACGCUUACUACAUCUAUUUUCAUACCUCAAUUAGUUUGUCUCCUUUGACUACAUCCAGAUGCAAGCCAGGGGGAGGUUUUCCUGCCCUGGAAAAUAAGGAGAGAAAUAAAUAUUGAUGUGUAGUAUCAUUAACAUUGUACCAUCAUUCUAUCAAUCUCAAACAAAUCCAAACUGAAGCAGGUUUACUGUGAAAAAUAAUAGUCCCACAAGUGUCCUGUAUGUGAGGUCCCAGAUUCGUUUUGCUUACAGAUAAAAAUAGAUCUCUGUACUUACCAAGUUAUUCAGUUGCCACAGCACACUAAGGUUAGAUGGGCUUGAAACAUUCACCAGAAACCUGCUAGCCAUCAAAGGAAACCAACCAAAAAGAGAAAUACAAAGAUGAGCAGGGUAGUGCUGCCAUUAACAACUUCCUUGGAUAAUGCCAGGUGAGAAACGGAGCCAACUCCCAGCUUCUGGAACUGGAGAGGGGCUGGGGUUCCUAACAAGGGCUGUCCCUGCACCCUGCUUCAGGACUCCCAUCUUUUGUAUUAACUUCUAGUUAGUAGAUAUCUGAAAUCUGACGCCCCAGCCUAUUCCUUCAGCUACUAGAAGCAAGACAAUGGUUUCCCCACCCCUGCAUUUUAAAACCUCCUGAUUGUUGGGGAAACAAUGAGGGCACAUUUCUAGUACUUGUCCAUCUCUGGUACUCUACUCCUCCUCCACUAGGAAUAUCUCCACUGCUUGCCUCUGGUGCUGCUCAGACGUUCCACACACCUCCAUGAUUCUCAGCUACAUGCUGCCCACCAAUUUCUGAAUAGCUGGAGUGUAAGAGACCAGAGUCUCUGCUACUGUUGGGAAGCUCUGUACAAGAGCAGUGACACUGAAGCAUUGCCUGUAGAAUUGAGAAAGAAACUUGUAAUUGGAGUUCUCCUCAUGGAUUACCUGCAGAGGUCAAUGUUUUGGGGAUGUGCUUCAGAACCCUCAGGAAAACAGUGUGUUGGGGGCUGUGCAUGUGCCUUUCCAGAUCUAAAAUGUUUGAAAGAAGGACACAAGAAAUCACAGCCCUUAUCCCUCAUUUCCUUUCCUCUAAAAUUUAGCAGAAAAUCUUUGUAUCAAAGACCUCUCUUUGUAUACAGUCUGAUCAGCCACUACCGUAGUCUCCUAAAGACUCACUUCUGCUGUUAUGCCUACAAAACACCGGCUGCUACUCAUAGCUAGGCAAAUGAGAAACUUUGAUUGUCUUUUUCUACUCCUUCCUUCUCCUACUCUUUGCUCUUACUAAUGUUACACUUCCUGCCAUUCCCCAUCCUCUUUCUACCUGUAAGGGGGAAAAAACAAAAAAACAAAA